rnacentral:rRNA from 1 species
CCUACGGGAGGCAGCAGUGAGGAAUAUUGGUCAAUGGCCGAGAGGCUGAACCAGCCAAGUCGCGUGAGGGAAGACGGCCCUACGGGUUGUAAACCUCUUUUGUCGGGGAGCAAAGAGAGUCACGUGUGACUCAUUGAGAGUACCCGAAGAAAAAGCAUCGGCUAACUCCGUGCCAGCAGCCGCGGUAAUACGGAGGAUGCGAGCGUUAUCCGGAUUUAUUGGGUUUAAAGGGUGCGCAGGCGGAGGUGCAAGUCAGCGGUCAAAUUGCGGGGCUCAACCCCGUACUGCCGUUGAAACUGGCAGACUUGAGUUGGCGAGAAGUACGCGGAAUGCGCGGUGUAGCGGUGAAAUGCAUAGAUAUCGCGCAGAACUCCGAUUGCGAAGGCAGCGUACCGGCGCCAGACUGACGCUGAGGCACGAAAGCGUGGGGAUCGAACAGGAUUAGAUACCCGGGUAGUC